UACGGAAGCAGCAGUGGGGAAUAUUGCACAAUGGGCGAAAGCCUGAUGCAGCUAUGCCGCGUGUAUGAAGAAGGCCUUAGGGUUGUAAAGUACUUUCAUCGGGGAGGAAAAAACAAAACUAAUAAUUUUAUUUCUUGACGUUACCCGAAAAAGAAGCACCGGCUAACUCCGUGCCAGCAGCCGCGGUAAUACGGAGGGUGCUAGCGUUAAUCAGAAUUACUGGGCGUAAAGAGCACGUAGGUGGUUUUUUUAAGUCAGAUGUGAAAUCCCUGGGCUUAACCUAGGAACUGCAUUUUGAAACUGAAAUACUAGAGUAUCGUAGAGGGAGGUAGAAUUCUAGGUGUAGCGGUGAAAUGCGUAGAUAUCUGGAGGAAUACCUGUGGCGAAAGCGGCCUCCUAAACGAAUACUGACACUGAGGUGCGAAAGCGUGGGGAGCAAACAGGGAUUAGAUACC
rnacentral:rRNA from 1 species